CUCAUCUGCAAGCCCCAUCCGAAGAAAGGGACACAACAAGCCGAAAUCACAGCGGCUACGGGGUCCUGGGCAACGUCUGGGGUGACCAAAAGGUCCUCAAGGUCGUCGCAGUGCCAGCUUCCUAGGGACAAAUGGGGGCGUGUGUCUAUAUCCGGGGGGGGGGGGGGGGGGGCAGAAAGCCCGUUUCAUUUGCCCGAGGGAAAGGAACACAGCUGACACACAAGCACAGCCCGAAACUUAACAACGCGUUUACUCCACGGAUGCAAUGCCGGGACAAAGGCAGUGGGCACAGCAGGAAAAGAACUGAGAGAGAAGCCUAGCGGCCCCGGCGCUAAACGCGGAGACUAGGAGACAGAGGCCCUAUAUGGCUCUCAGAUCAUUGAGAAAGACACUUCAAAUGGCAAGAGAUACAUACACAUCUGAAAGGGACAGAAGAAGGAGUCACCGUUGUAAGCCCUUUUGGGUAAAUGCUAUAAGAAAAGGGAGGUCUGGGACCUAUCAUCAGGUUUUGGCUAGAACAAAUGAUAAACACUGGGAGCCUUGAGUUUUCUCAGACAGGCAUUUUAAUGCAGUACUGGAGUCAUCCUAGGGCACAGCCUGAUGCUACUGGAAGCUAUGCUCUAGUGUGGUCAUCUCAUAGUGUAGAGGUUUGGAGAAAAGUUCUGCCAUGUGCAAAGGACCUGAGGCCCCUGGCCUUCAGCCCCAGCCAUACUGAAUGAGCCAGUGUGAAAGCAGAUCCUCCAGCCUUCAGUCAACUGUCCAGCUCAUGCUGCACGGAGCAAAGAUGAACGUUGCCUCUGAUCCCUACCCAGUUCUACCCAAUGGCAUAUUUGUGUGCAAAAGAAAUGAUUAUCAUUCUUUCAAGUCACAAAGUUUGAGGAUGGCUUGUUAUGCAGCAAUAAGCAAACACCUAUGAAAUAUAAGACAUGUACCUAU